rnacentral:rRNA from 1 species
UACGGAGGAUCCGAGCGUUAUCCGGAUUCAUUGGGUUUAAAGGGUGCGUAGGCGGAAUGAUAAGUCAGUGGUGAAAUCCUGCAGCUUAACUGCAGAACUGCCAUUGAUACUGUCAAUCUUGAGUACAUUUGAUGUGGGCGGAAUGUGUCAUGUAGCGGUGAAAUGCUUAGAUAUGACACAGAACACCGAUUGCGAAGGCAGCUCACAAAACUGUAACUGACGCUGAGGCACGAAAGCGUGGGUAUCAAACAGG